rnacentral:rRNA from 1 species
AACGAACGCUGGCGGCAGGCCUAAUACAUGCAAGUCGAACGGGCGUAGCAAUACGUCAGUGGCGGACGGGUGAGUAACACGUGGGAACAUGCCCUUCGGUACGGAACAACUCAGGGAAACUUGAGCUAAUACCGUAUGCGCCGGUAACGGGAAAGAUUUAUCGCCGAAGGAUUGGCCCGCGUCCGAUUAGCUAGUUGGUG